rnacentral:rRNA from 1 species
UAGGGAAUAUUGGUCAAUGGGCGCAAGCCUGAACCAGCCAUGCCGCGUGCAGGAUGACGGCCCUAUGGGUUGUAAACUGCUUUUGUACGGGAAGAAACCCUCCGAUGCGUCGGGGGUUGACGGUACCGUAAGAAUAAGGAUCGGCUAACUUCGUGCCAGCAGCCGCGGUAAUACGAAGGAUCCUAGCGUUGUCCGGAUUUACUGGGUUUAAAGGGAGCGUAGGCGGACUUUUAAGUCAGUGGUGAAAGCUUGCAGCUUAACUGUAAAAUUGCCAUUGAAACUGAAAGUCUCGAGUGCGGUUGAGGUCACUGGAAUGUAUCAUGUAGCGGUGAAAUGCUUAGAUAUGAUACAGAACACCAAUUGCGAAGGCAGGUGACUAAACCGUAACUGACGCUGAGGCUCGAAAGCGUGGGGAUCAAACAG